rnacentral:rRNA from 1 species
AUUGAACGCUGGCGGCAGGCCUAACACAUGCAAGUCGAAUGGUAACAGGAAACAUCUUGCUGUUUCGCUGACGAGUGGCGGACGUGUGAGUAAUGUCUGGGAAACUGCCUGAUGGAGGGGGAUAACUACUGGAAACGGUAGCUAAUACCGCAUAACGUCGCAAGACCAAAGAGGGGGACCUUCGGGCCUCUUGCCAUCAGAUGUGCCCAGAUGGGAUUAGCUAGUAGGUGGGGUAACGGCUCACCUAGGCGACGAUCCCUAGCUGGUCUGAGAGGAUGACCAGCCACACUGGAACUGAGACACGGUCCAGACUCCUACGGGAGGCAGCAGUGGGGAAUAUUGCACAAUGGGCGCAAGCCUGAUGCAGCCAUGCCGCGUGUAUGAAGAAGGCCUUCGGGUUGUAAAGUACUUUCAGCGGGGAGGAAGGGAGUAAAGUUAAUACCUUUGCUCAUUGACGUUACCCGCAGAAGAAGCACCGGCUAACUCCGUG